GGGUCUUCGGGUCUUCCGGGUCCGGGGUCUUCGGGUCUUCCAGGUCCGGGGCGUUCGUGUCCGGGGUGUUCGGGUCCUCUAGGGCCGG
rnacentral:tRNA from 1 species